rnacentral:rRNA from 1 species
UACAGAGGUCCCAAGCGUUGUUCGGAUUCACUGGGCGUAAAGCGUGCGCAGGCGGUUUUGCAAGCCGGAUGUGAAAUCCCCGGGCUCAACCUGGGAAUGGCAUUCGGGACUGCAAGGCUGGAGUGCGGCAGAGGAGACUGGAAUUCCUGGUGUAGCAGUGAAAUGCGUAGAUAUCAGGAGGAAUACCGAUGGCGAAGGCAGGUCUCUGGGCUGACACUGACGCUCAUGCACGAAAGCGUGGGGAGCAAACAGG